UUUUUUGUAAUAUAAAUAAUUAUUAUUUUUACCUUCCAAGUAGACAAUCUCGCAAGAGCUUAAAAA
rnacentral:tRNA from 1 species